GCUAAACUCUGCAGGACACCGGCCCUCCAGGACCGAGUUUGGGCAGCCCUGGUCUAGACCCUCAAAGGACUGGUGUUUGCAGCUGACUGGCCUGUGACUCGGUGGAUGAAGGAAUGCAGACAAACUACUCAUAUGACUUCAAGCCUUAAAGGUCCUGGGAAAGCCACAGCCUUGCCAACUCUGCAUAGCUCAGAAGCCAGUGCCCGCCCCUCUCAUCGUGGGAGUUACAUUUCCUGUUUGACUCUGACAUUUCUGGAACAGUGUCCUUUCUCGUGGUAUCUUCCAAAAAUGUAAUAAACGGCAACCCAACA
rnacentral:lncRNA from 1 species